GCAGCCAGGCUAACAGAAACCCAGCCCUGCCCACUGGGUGAAACUGCAAGUCGAGAGCGUGGGAAACCAGCAAGUUGAGAGAGGAUCCAGAAGUAACCCCUUCUAAAACGGGAAAGAUGCCUUCCGAAAGCACUUGGCCCUAAAGAGAAAACACUAGGAGGAUGGGAACCAGGGACAGAGAAGCUACUUGCUCUGCAGCUGUUUGGGCCAGUAUGUUCCCUAAUCUUGAUGGCCAUCCUGGGCUUAUUUUCCUGAGAGUCUCUAAGUGACUCACUGCAUCACGUAAAACUAAGAAAAAGGAUGUCCUGAAUUUUCCUGCUUAGAGAGCUUGUUUUUCUUUCCUGUUGCAUCAAAGGGGUCUGUUAAACUUUCUAAAAGUACUAAUCUGACCUGAUAUCUGAAGUAACAGAUAGGAAUUUGGGCUCUUUAAAUGGAGCCCUUCCCCCAUACCUGCAUCUCAUUGAAGAGGCUGAACUUCAAAACAAAAUCAUGUUGGAGAAUUAAGUCUCGUUCCCAGAUUUAAUUUCUUAUUUUUAUAUUGUUGCAUAAGAAAUCUACUCUAUAAGGCAUCUAUUUUCAAAUUUGGAAAAUCUUAUUUUAAGUUCAUUUAUUUAAAGACCAACAAACAAAAACACCAAAUUCACUAGCCCAGGUCUUUAUGGACCACCAUCUCCCCUCCCCGCCUCCAUUUCUCCCUGGAGUAGUGAUUGUGGGGCCACUGCAUGAAUUUUACUCUAUUAUUUAUCUAAUGAGCAAAGCCAAGGCUGGCAAUGCUGAGAAUGCAUGAGGGAAAAAAAGAUAUCACAAUGACAGCACACUCUGCAGCGUUCCAUCCAAAAGCAAGGAGAAGACCACAGAAGCUCUGCAUUUGGAACUUUUCCUGGAUUCUGUCCCAUUUGCUUCUUCCCAUGACCGAUUUUGAUCUGUAUCCUUUCCCCUGUAAUAAACAGUAACCAUAAGUAGAA
rnacentral:lncRNA from 1 species